AACGAACGCUGGCGGCAUGCCUAACACAUGCAAGUCGAACGAGACCUUCGGGUCUAGUGGCGCACGGGUGCGUAACGCGUGGGAACCUGCCCUUAGGUUCGGAAUAACUCCCCGAAAGGGGUGCUAAUACCGGAUAAUGUCUUCGGACCAAAGAUUUAUCGCCUUUGGAUGUUCCCGCGUUGGAUUAGCUAGUUGGUAGGGUAAAAGCCUACCAAGGCGACGAUCCAUAGCUGGUCUGAGAGGAUGAUCAGCCACACUGGGACUGAGACACGGCCCAGACUCCUACGGGAGGCAGCAGUGGGGAAUAGUGGACAAUGGGCGAAAGCCUGAUCCAGCAAUGCCGCGUGAGUGAUGAAGGCCUUAGGGUUGUAAAGCUCUUUUACCCGGGAUGAUAAUGACAGUACCGGGAGAAUAAGCUACGGCUAACUCCGUG
rnacentral:rRNA from 1 species